AAUUGUGAAUUUUCUUAAAAAUAUAAAGGUUUUCUACCCCUCGUGGUAGCGAGUUUUUAAAAGAAAAAAGUUUUCGUGCGGGAAAUAGUUUUACAAGGUUUUCUCGUGGAUUUUGUAACUUCGUAUUUCAAAACAAGAUUCCGAGUAGGAAACAUUUUCAACUGAUAGUUGUGAUAUUAUGAUUAAACGUUGUUUGGUAAAUCUGUUGUGAAUGGUGAAUGAAUGUUGAAUGUUGUAUAUUCAUUAUGGUGGUUGUACUCUGUUUGGACGUCUU
rnacentral:lncRNA from 1 species